rnacentral:rRNA from 1 species
UGCGGAGGGAUCAUUACACAACAAAAUAUGAAGGCCUGGCUUUCGCGGCCGGCUGAAGUAUUUUUUUCACCCAUGUCUUUUGCGCACUUGUUGUUUCCUGGGCGGGUUCGCCCGCCACCAGGACCAAACCAUAAACCUUUUUUUCUUAUGCAGUUUCCAUCAGCGUCAGUAAAAACAAUGUAAUUAUUACAACUUUCAACAACGGAUCUCUUGGUUCUGGCAUCGAUGAAGAACGCAGCGAAAUGCGAUACGUAGUGUGAAUUGCAGAAUUCAGUGAAUCAUCGAAUCUUUGAACGCACAUUGCGCCCUUUGGUAUUCCAAAGGGCAUGCCUGUUCGAGCGUCAUUUGUACCUUCAAGCUUUGCUUGGUGUUGGGCGUUUUUUUGUCUCCCUCUUUCUGGGAGACUCGCCUUAAAACGAUUGGCAGCCGGCCUACUGGUUUCGGAGCGCAGCACAUUUUUUGCGCUUUGUAUCAGGAGAAAAGGACGGUACUCCAUCAAGACUCUACAUUUUUCACUUUUGACCUCGGAUCAGGUAGGGAUACCCGCUGAACUUAAGCAUAUCAA